UAUAUUUGCGCGCUGAUAGAAAGACUAUCAAAUUACAUAAUAAUCAUUGAAAUAAUAUUGGCAUG
rnacentral:ncRNA from 1 species